CAACCACAGCCAAGGAAGGCCAAAGACUCCCAGCAAAUACCAGAGGCUGGGAGAGACACCCAGAACAGAUGCUCCCUGGCAACCCUCAGAAGGAACCAACUCUGCUGACACCUGGAUCUCAGACUUCCAGCCUCUAGAACUCCGAGACAAUGCAUUUCUGUUGUGUAUGCCACUUGAUUUAUGGCACUCUGUUACGGCAGCCCCAGCAAAUGAAUACACCAAGUAGCUGAAAUUAAGUCAGUAUCUUCCUUUGAUCAUUGGGAAGACUCACAGGAUUUUUCUCUCAUCUGAUCCAGACAACAGACAGGGUACUGGUGAGGACAGAGGACCUCAGUAGGAGAGGACUGGCCCAGCUGGCUGUUCCCUAGGGAAGUUGCAUCCCAAGGGAAGCAAUAAAGAAAGAGCCAUCUAAAGAGGAACUGAGGCCCCAAGAGGUAGACUGAGCUGCCCUAUGACCCAGGACCAGUCAACACCAGAGCGGGGAUUAGAACCCAAACUGCUGGGGUGCUCGGUCUGCUCUCUGCUGUCUUUCCACAAGAGCAUGCUUCCCCACCCCUGGUGAAGACUUAAGAGGAACGCACUGGUGU